UACGGAGGGGGCUAGCGUUGUUCGGAAUUACUGGGCGUAAAGCGCACGUAGGCGGCUUUGUAAGUUAGAGGUGAAAGCCCAGAGCUCAACUCUGGAACUGCCUUUAAGACUGCAUCGCUUGAAUUGUGGAGAGGUAAGUGGAAUUCCGAGUGUAGAGGUGAAAUUCGUAGAUAUUCGGAAGAACACCAGUGGCGAAGGCGACUUACUGGACACAUAUUGACGCUGAUGUGCGAAAGCGUGGGGAGCAAACAGG
rnacentral:rRNA from 1 species